GAGUUUGAUCGUGGCUCAGAUUGAACGCUGGCGGCAGGCCUAACACAUGCAAGUCGAGUGGAUGACGGGAGCUUGCUCCUUGAUUCAGCGGCGGACGGGUGAGUAAUGCCUGGGAAUCUGCCUGGUAGUGGGGGACAACGUUUCGAAAGGAACGCUAAUACCGCAUACGUCCUACGGGAGAAAGCAGGGGACCUUCGGGCCUUGCGCUAUCAGAUGAGUCUAGGUCGGAUUAGCUAGUUGGUGGGGUAAUGGCUCACCAAGGCGACGAUCCGUAACUGGUCUGAGAGGAUGAUCAGUCACACUGGAACUGAGACACGGCCCAGACUCCUACGGGAGGCAGCAGUGGGGAAUAUUGGACAAUGGGCGAAAGCCUGAUCCAGCCAUGCCGCGUGUGUGAAGAAAGGUCUUUCGGAUUGUAAAAGCACUUUAAAGUUGGGAGGAAGGGCAGUAAAGUUAAUACCUUGCUGUUUUGUACGUUACCGACAGAAUAAGCACGGCUAAACUCUGUGCCAGCCGCCGCCG
rnacentral:rRNA from 1 species